GUGGGGAAUCUUGCGCAAUGGGCGAAAGCCUGACGCAGCCAUGCCGCGUGAAUGAUGAAGGUCUUAGGAUUGUAAAAUUCUUUCACCGGGGACGAUAAUGACGGUACCCGGAGAAGAAGCCCCGGCUAACUUCGUGCCAGCAGCCGCGGUAAUACGAAGGGGGCUAGCGUUGCUCGGAAUUACUGGGCGUAAAGGGAGCGUAGGCGGACAGUUUAGUCAGAGGUGAAAUCCCAGGGCUCAACCUUGGAAUUGCCUUUGAUACUGGCUGUCUUGAGUUUGGGAGAGGUGUGUGGAACUCCGAGUGUAGAGGUGAAAUUCGUAGAUAUUCGGAAGAACACCAGUGGCGAAGGCGACACACUGGCCCAAUACUGACGCUGAGGCGCGAAAGCGUGGGGAGCAAACAGGAUUAGAUACCCGAGUAGUCC
rnacentral:rRNA from 1 species